AUGCUCUUCCGCCGGAUUCUCCCGUGUCAACGACGGGCCUUCAAUUUGUGGGAGUUCGACCCGGCCCAGCACCAGACUCUGUCCCGGUUUUUCGACACAAAGCAUGAAGAUGCCCGGAAGGUGCUAUUCAAGAGCUCCGAGGUCCCCUCUCCCGUCACCGAGGAUCGCGGAUUCUGCGCCAAGCGCCAAGCCAGCGCGGACUGGCUGAAGAAGUCCGGGCAGGUCAACUGUCCGGCUCCUCUGCCCGAAGACCUAGCGGAUGCUCGUCUAACCAAGCUGCUGGUUCCGGCACCCCACGUGGUGCCGGAGAAGAAGGCCAAGAAGAAGAACACGGGGACUCGAAAGAGCUCCCGGCGCCUGGUGGUGUCGGAUUCAUCGCCUGACAGCCCCGAAGCCCCCUCCGCCUCUAAAGACGAGGAGGAGGAAGAAGAAGAAGAAGAAGCCCCUCCCCCUCCAACGGGGGAAGGAAAGAAAAGGAAGGCUUCCCCAACUGGGGAGGCCGAGGGGGCCAAGAAGGGGAAGACCCUUCUGCCGGACUAUGGCUCCGAUGCCGAAGACGGCGGGGAGGAAUGGCCAUCCAGGGUCAAGCCCCUGGCAAAAUCUCCACCCAGAGUUCAGCUCGGCGAUUCGUCGAGCGGCUCUCUGAAUUCAUCGGAUGUGAAUAACGCUUCACUUCCGACGGCUUCCUCCCCGCUCCCUGCAGACGACGCCAAGGCGGAGUCCCAAAAGGGACCGAACCAGGAGGAGGUGGUCCUGGAGGUGCCCUAA
rnacentral:rRNA from 1 species